AAGUCAUUAAAGUUAUUAGGUUUUCGGUCCUUUAAUGAAGGGAUGUGUGCUUAGAAUGAUAGUGAUUCUUCAAAAUUUAGUGAGUAAUUAGUAUAAUAGUAUAAUUUAAGGAAUGAAAAUAAUCAAAAGUUUAAAUCUAAAAAUGAAAAAUUUGGUAACACUAAAUGCUUAAUUAAUGCUUGAUAGUAUUAUAGCCUGACUCUCUCUCUCUCUCUCAAGUGGUAUAGAUCAUGUUCAACGGAGCUGAUCGUCAAUUUGGAAGCUCUAUCAUCGAAAACAAAUAAAUAGUAAAACGGCUCGUUUACUACUGAUAGUAUUCUAGCAAAACUCUAUAUAUAUAUAUGGGGAGAGAGAGAGAGAGAGAGAGAGAGAGUAGAUCUACUAUACUAUCGGAAGUAUAAAGUAAUUGAUAUUUUCAAUUUUUUAUCCCUUAAAUCAACACCAUUGAUCAUUUCUAAUCAUUAGAUUAAUAUUAUUAACCAAUAGGGACUACUCAACCCUAAGAAGACCGCUAUCAUCCGUAAAAUUUUUGAUCCACGGGCAAAAAAAUUAGAAGCACCGACUACUUUAUGCUUCCGAUAGCAUAGUACAUCUACACUAU
rnacentral:lncRNA from 1 species